AGGGCGUACACACGUGUUACAAUAGGCCGGGCGACAAGGAGGCAGCUACCUGGUGACAGGAUGCUAAUCUACGAAACCGGUCUCAGUUCGGAUCGAAGUCUGCAACUCGACUUCGUGAAGCUGGAUUCGCUAGUAAUCGCGCAUCAGCCAUGGCGCGGUGAAUACGUUCCCGGGCCUU
rnacentral:rRNA from 1 species